UGUUGAGUUUUGUAUGAACUAAUCUUGCUUCACUAAAAAAAGACCUACAGCUUGGACAAAAGUCUGUAGCCAGUGCAUUCCUAACUCCCCUUGCACUAAGGCUGACUGAGGCUGUGGGAAGACAUAUAACUCUUGUGCUCUGUUUCUUUCUUAAAAGUCCUGUGGUGUUGCAUUCAGGUACUUUGUCCUGGUUCCACCUGUAUGGACUCUGGGUCUGGGAAAAUCCCUGGAUAUAUCUGCUGGUCUAGGCCUUAUAAAGGCAGCUGUGUCCUGAGUGUGAAAGCCAUAAACGGCUUUUCUUGUUCCAGGCCAGCAUGCGGAGGAUAACGUUUAACGUGGGGUGUAGGUGCUGGAAAGGCUGCAGUGAGAAUGCCGCAUCUGGGAAAAGUCGGCGGUGGAUCCCAGCCCUGGGACUAUUGCUGCAAAGGAAGGAUGUGAAUCUCAGCCCCGAUCAAACGGGAUCAGAGACCGCUGAAGUGCGGCUCUUAAGUCGUUGGAUGUAGUAACCUUUCCUGCCAAUCAAAAUGUGAUGAGGACAACACCCUAACUGGCAAUGCUAACAAGCCUCAAGUCUGUCUGAGAAGACCCGUACACCAAGUUUGUUUCUUCUGGUAAGAGCUGUCAGAGACAAGAUUUGACACCGACCAAACACAAGAAGAUACACAGACAAAGGCACCUGUUGCACCGAAGAGCAACUUCAAGGAGACAGACACUCUGCAUCACAUUUUAGGGCUGCCAAUCCCUGCAAUGCGAUCUGGAUUUCUUUAGAAGAAAGCCUAAUCAGUUUCUAUGACGGAAUCCCAAAGAUACUGCACUGUUACACAGAAUGAGGAUGCCCAGCCUCCAGUAAGUUGGAUAAGCUUGGGGUGCCUCGUCACCGUGGAGACUGCCAGAACAAUUCAGCUGAAGUUUGAAGGGGUCAGCUUUCAGGGUCAACAACUCCGGCCUCUCCCUGCGCCAGCUUCUGUUGGGCCUGGGACUGCAGUUGGAGUGUUAGCCCAGGCCUAGCUUUGAGUGGGAUAAAAUACUGUAAAUUCCAGAGUUCCUUUCACUGCGAACGAAAGUGUCACAAGGUUCUGAUGCAGCCAAGUGAAAGAAAAUCAGACAUCCUGGAGUUCUUGCAGGUGGUGGGCAUUUCAGAGAGACCCACAGGGAGAGGCACAUCUGCAACUGUCACGGGCCAUUGUUCUGGUUACCACAGUUUUGUUUACUUGUUUGUUUGAUUGACUAACCUUCUUUAAGCAGAGCUGCUAGAGUCUUUGAGAUUGUAAUUGUUAUUUCACAGGAAUUCAGUAAAUGCCUGUAAGUUGUUUUCUUAUAUAUACAUGUAAAGGUUUCCCUUUCAUUUUUUUUUCUCUUUGCUGCAGGUCAAGGAUUCCAUAGGAAAAAGUCUGCUAAAGUUAUUAAGUUUAAGUACAUAAUUAUUCUGUGUAAUUGUUUACUGUAAUUAUAUUAUUAAGGUCUUGUUUUACAAAUUUGCACAAGCCAACACCUGUACUGCAAGGCAACAGCAUUUGAUGUACUAUAGUAGAUUUUUCAAGGUGCACAUUACAAGAAAUCCAAGGCUGCUAUGUGAGUGUGUUUCAUAUUCUUUCAAUUUUUUAUAGCUAUGAACAAGGAGAUAGAAUCAAACAACCAAUAAAUCUCAUCAUGAUACGUGAACAACAUCACAAAUUGGAAAACAAACUUCUAAACAAAUACACAGAAAGUAAAGCUCAAUAAAAUAUAUAAUAUCAACUCGCCCACUCAACCACAGCAGACACCCAGGCUGUUAUAGAGGAUGAGAUCAUUUGGCACGGUUCAUGCCAGAAAAUGAUACCUCUGCAAACCAGAAUCCGUUUCAUGACAAUAUAAUUUUUUUUGGUUGCAGUUCUGCUUGCAAGUGUAUAGUACCUCUCAAUCAGCACACAACAGAGAAUGAAAGACAGCGACCUCAGAGCACCGGGGUAUUCGGACAAUAUAUGGAAAUUUGUACCUGGUGGCUCAAGAUAGCAACUGGGGCAGUUUGUGUCUGAAAUUACCAUUGAAAUGUUUAUGUGAAGUAGCACUGGCACUAUGGUUUAGACUGCAUGUUAUAUAUUACACGAAUGUCGUUUGGUCCUAUGGUGAACCCUAUAUUUCUCUUUGGUUCUGUGGUGGGCCCUAUAUUUCUCUUUGGUUCUCUGGUGGACCCUAAAUUUCUCUUUGUUGCUGUGGUGAACCCUAUGUUGUGUUGAAUUGUGUUGAAACCCAGGCUUUCAGAGGUGUGAAAAGCACAAGAAGCAAGUGAAUUAGCUAUAAUAUUACUUCUUUAGCAAACUAUGAAAUUGUUUUAAUUCAUGACUAUUCUUCACUAAAAUCAAUUCUUCCCUAUUUGAAGAGGUAUGGUCCAAAUUCAUUCAGUUACCUUCACCAAAAAAGCUGAUGAAAAUAUUAUUCUUGAGGAUAAAGUAAAUCAGAUUUAUUUGCAUUGUAUUGUUCUCAAUAAAGUUAGCUUUUAAGGAAUAUCAAUUACAUUUCAAUGGUACAUUGGGACUGGUGUGCUUGUAUUUGCAAGUGCAACACCCUUUCACCGGGCUGUUUCUAAGAUUUCUUUUGAAUCCAUCCAUGGUUUUCAUAGGCUCCAUGUAGUGACAUCUGAAAACAAACAACUUCCAUUAACCCAUAUAUUAUAAACUUCUUCCUUCAUCUAGGAAAAUAGUUCAUUACAGUCAGCAAGGGACCUUUAUUGUAAGUAGUUUCAAGGGGAGUUGGGGGAUACAUAAAAACAAAAGAAAUAAAUUUGAUUUAAAUUCUGUCCUUAAAAAAGGAAAUCUGGCACAAAUCCACUUGGUGAAAGUUUCUUCCAGCUGUGCUCACUCAGGAGUUUUGCAUUUUAACCUGCAUUGCAAAAGGAAACUGAUGUGGACAGUUCUGUCUCUUCCCUUGAACCUGGUUGGAUUUGAGCAUGGGCUGCACAGGGGCUGAGUGGCUGGAGGAGUGGUCUGGGCUCUUGGUCUUUGUAUCCAGCAGGAGAAACACUGGGACCCUGCUGGGAAGGACAUGCAAAGACUUCCCCCCUCCAAGAGAACUAGACAAAAGCACAUUACAUGCUUGCAAAUCACCUCUCUGAUGUUAUUUCAUUUACCACAGCCUGGUGGAUGGUUGCUUCAUCCUUGCAAACAGUUUUAAGCUUCAUAAGGUCUUUCUGUUCCACUGCAGUGGUCACUUAUCCCACUAUGCCUCAUAUUGGAAUGUUCCUUCUUCUUCUUCUUCUUCUUCUUCUUCUUCUUCUUCUUCUUCUUCUUCUUCUUCUUCUUCUUCAACCUUCCAACCUUCUCUCCAUUCUUAAGCACUUUUUUUCUCACACUGAAAAGCAUGAAUCUGCUUUCUAUGCCAUGAAUUUUCUAGGAGAAUAAACAGUGGGAUGAGUUCGCUGUUGAUAAAGUCUAUUGACCCUUCAAGGAUCAACAAUUUUGAAAUGGAUCAUUUCAACACAAUAUAGGUCUUUCUUCAGCACUUUUGAGGAUGUGUCUCACAACAUUAAAGCAAGAGAAAAAUCAUUAAUUAUAAGAAGCAAGACUGGUGCAAUCAUGAGUGGAAUUUUGUCCACAGAUACAGUUUAUAAAUAACUAGAAAGAUAUAUGGAAGUUAAUUUUGAUAGACAAGGAAAAUAUAUCCUCCAUAGAGAGGGACUAAUAAGCAAGAUAGCUGGAGUAUGGUAUAAUGACAUUUUUGUUCACCCUUUUUUUAAAUAUUAUUUAUUGCUGACCAUGGUUCUGUUAAUUGGAUUUUCAGGACACCUGUACUUGCAUAGAGUAUCCAGGGGAUUAUUCUAGGGAUGGGCAAAUCAGCUCUAAUUUGUGUCAUACACACACACACACACACACCUCAAACCUUAUCCAGUUUGGGUUUAUUUGAUCAGCUUCAAACUGUCAAAGAUUUUCUGUGCCUUAAACUGGCAAUGAGGUUAUAAAAAGAUACUACUAGCGGCUACAAUCUCCCUAAUGCAUUUCAAAUUAUAUUGCAUCCUGUGUUAUCAGUUUCCUUAAAAGGGUUUCCUUUCCUGAAAAAUAUUCUCUUUUAUUAAUAACUUAAAAUUGCCUAAAUAAAAUAAAGCAUUCAUUGAAUAACGGUUAUAUUCUCCUUAAUUGUAAAUACUAUUAUAUUAUUAUACUUUGCUCAUAAUGCAGUUAUACAACAUUCUUUCUAUGCUAACAUCGACUGCACUAGUUGCGUUGCACAUACUUGAAAAUGGUGCCAUAGGUAAUGAGUUUCAGUAUGCUAAGAGGGUCAAACAGAGGAGUGCGAUUAGCGCUCAUUAAUUGGCAGCCCUAAUAUAUAUUAAAGAUGGGCAGAAUACAGUGGUUCCAAAUAAUUUUCCUUUAAGGUCUCACUGAACCAACACAUUUC